rfam:Dipodomys ordii contig_25986, whole genome shotgun sequence.
GGGAAGGUGGCUCAGUGGUAGAGCACUUGCCUUGCAUGCAUGAGGCCCUGGGUUCGAUUCCUCAGCGCCA